AAUGAUAUUAUAUUUGAAGUAAAUAUAUUUUUCACUUUGUUAUAAAGUAAAAAAUAGAAUAUUAUUGAAACAUUUUUACUUAAACUCUAUUUUACACUGAAAAUAAAAUGGAAUUCGAGAUAUCUUUAUUAGCCACAUGUUCUCUCACUAAAACCUUUUUUUUAGAAAACUUAAAACCCUAUAGUUGAUGAUAAGUCAUAUUGUAAAGAGAAUCCUCCCAAGUAAGGCUUUAAUUUAUUAAAAAAUAAAAGAAAGAAUUACACUAGAAGGCAGUUUAUGAGUUUAUUUUACACAAUAAGACAGUUUCUACUACUAAGGUAGUUUUUCUAACCAAAUUCAUUUUCUAGCUAAAAUCUAACUAAAUAACCUUGUAACCAAAUGACCCAAACUAACUAAAUUUAAUAUAUAUAUUUUGCUGGGAUUUAACCACAGCCUUUCAUUUAUAUAUUAUUUUAAUGUUCAAGAUUCAACACAAACAAAAUGCUCUGUAAUAUCAUCUCCCGAUCUUCUUCCUCAAGAUUUUAUGUCUUCCUCUUUGUAUAACCUUAAACGACAACCACGGUGAGCUCCAAUCAUCAUCCCCGCCGUGACCUGCUUCUUGCCACCGACUUUUCUCCUCCACAAUCCGCAUCUGUCAAGUUCCCACAGUGAGCUCCUCCCACCACUUUCUCCCCACACACUCAUCUUAUGCCAUGGUACUCACGAGCACUGGAGCUGUUCUCAGCGACGAUGGUUGCGGCGAGUUCCAGUCUCCGUUCACUCUUUCAUUCGAAGCCGCCGUAAUCAGUAACCCUUCCUCCAUUGCCACUGUUGUAUCUUCUUCAUCACCUGCAAUUGCUAACUAACCAUCUUUUUUCACCGUAGUAACCGUCAACGAACAUGGCGUAAUGAGUUAGAUCCAAGUUUUAUUGGAGCAAUUCGGUGGUGACUCAGUCGGAAUGAGUUAGAUCCAAAAUAGCUAAUUUAGACUUUUUUGCAUAUUUGAUCCCUGAACUUAUUUGUUAUUUAUUUAGGAAUCCCAAUACUUUUUAAAUGUGAAAAUUGAUCUUUAAUUUUGUCCCAAACUUCAGAAAUUAUAUUUAAACCCCUUAUAGUAGGAAUACGUGUACACUGAAUUAAAUUGAUACAAUAAAAAAUAACUAAAGACAUACCUAAAUGACUUAGAUGAACAAAAACAAAUAUGAAUAUCAAAAAAAUAUGUACACUGAAUUGUACAACAAUACACAUGUACAACAAUAAACUAUUUAUGUACAUUCGUUGUACAUGUGUACAAUAAGUGAUAUAUCAUGAGAUGCGGAUGAGCUGUGGCAUAGACGAAGUCGAAUGUGAUCCCGAGAUAGAACCACCACUGUUUCACUUUACGGUGAAUGAGAAGAGAGGACGUUUUGACGGCGGUGAGAGCUUAGGUCACUGCAACGACAAAUACGAUUUGCAACACACAUACCAAAGACCAUAAAGAAGAAUUGCGGCGGAGAAGAAAGAGUUGUGGCAAAGGGAAGAGAUGCGACAGAGAAGGAAGAGUUGCGGUGGCGGAAAUAACUCAGACCCAAUGACCUUCAACAAGCGAGUACACGUGUACAUCGAAAAUGAACCAAUAUAUGACUAUGUACACGUUUUAACGAGUACACGUGUACAUCGAAAAUGAACCAAUAUAUGUGAAGAGGUUAUACACAUAUAGGUGGAUUGGUGGUUGAUUAGUAAUAUACAAUGUACACAUGUUGUCUUUGUACACAUGUACAUAUAUUAUAUCUUAACGCUAUCCAACAAAAUUAUAUAUUAACUCGUAUUCUACUUGUAAUAAUAUACAUAUACAAGUAAAUAUGUACAUAUGUACAAAAGUAAACAUGUACAUAAAUAAACCUGUACACAUAUAAUCUUCGUACACAUGUAUACUAUUAUAUAUGCACACAUGUUAACAUACAUGAGUAAUAAUAAAUUUUGAUUAUCAUGACAAACAUUUCAUAAUUUUAACAAAAAUAAUAAAAAAGGUGUCAUAUUAUUUACUAAUACAAAUUUUGUGUUUAUAACUACAAAUAUUUUGCAAAAAAAAAAAUCAUGUCAUAUUAUUUAGGAACAUGGUGAUAUUUUAUUGAUUCUUAAUAACUUUUUAGUUCAUUUAACUCAAUUUUGUGUGUAUUUAAGUGUUUUUAUUGCAUUUUUAUACAUAUUUUCGGCUGGACUGCAUAAUCUAAAAGUUUGGGCUGAAAUUGAGAAGAAUACAAAAGUACAAGGACCUAAAUUGCAAACAAAGAAAGUUGGACAAAACUCGUCGGCUUCAGAGGUGUGGAUGCAACGGAACGGUGGCACCAGCAAAGAUGAAACGGAACGGUGGCAGCAGCAAGGAUGACGCCGUGUAGAGCUUUGAAACGAGGCUUUGCUGCAGAGAUGUGCUGGUUUCUCGAAGAUCUCGUCUGGCUUCGGAGAUGUGCGGUUUCAUCGGACAUCUCGUCGCACUUGUUCUGGGCAUCAUAUGCUAAUGGUGCGUAGAAAGCUAGAGUUAUCAAUUUAUGUCGAGUAGUCUCACAACUUCAAUAGCUUUUACAAUUCUUAUUCAGACUGUAGUUAUCGAAGAUUUGAGGAAGAAGAUCAAGAAUAUUGAUUUUGUGAUUAUUGAAAAACGUAAAAGAAUGAAUGGCUGAGAUUAAAACU